GUUUUCUUAAAAUGCUGGGGGAAAGUGUGGUCCUGGAUCAUGGAAUCUCUCCCUCCGCUCAGGAGUAACAUCCCCCCCAGGAUCCCUGCACCCCAUUGGGGCCAGUAAAUCUGACCUCUUCUGAGCCUUUGGAACAGCCCCAGGCAAAUCCAUUUCCAGCUACCUGGAGCUUUCCUGUUCUGAAAAGUCAAAACAAUACCAGCUCAUGAGGAUAAAGAGCUGUUUCCUUCACCCAUUUUCUACCUGCUCUGAAUCAUCCACCUGGGCCAUCCUUCUGAAAUAUCCUAGAUACAUUUGCCUUGGGGGAGUGGCUUCUAGAUUAUCCCCCUUAAGAUCUCCUGGACCACAGGUGCAUGCAAAAGGUAUUUUCCAAUCUCUUGCUCAGAUCUCACCUAGGUUUCUGGACCAGAGUCAAGGAUUUCAUGAACCCAAGCAGGCCUGCUCCAAUGAUAGGAUUAUAGAUGCCUUGGACAUAAGUACGGCCGCUGCCUCGCAUAGACUUGAUUAGUUCCAGGAGCAGCGUUUACUUCUCUCCCAGGGAAGAACAGGGUAUGCAGAAGCAAAGAGAAUACAAAAACCUUGGAACAAUAAUCGGUGCAGCCUGGAAUAUUUUGUCCCUGGUCGCCUUCCAGAGAAGCAAGAGUGGAAUAUAAUCAUCUCCAGCAUCCCUAUCUCAAGGCAAAGUUGACAGACAGAUGAUGAUGAUGAUCUGCCUUUCUCAGGACACUUACUUCUACUGUGUCAACCUGCUCUUUCGCCCUGCUUAGUAGGAUGAUUACCAAUGGCCUGGAUAGAUCGCAGAUCACACCACCUGAAUCUUGAAUUGAUUCACUGGUUUAUAUGCUUUCUGGAUUAAAGCAGGAACUUCAAUGUUUUCCUUUUCCUUUUCUCUCAAAAAAAGAGAGAUUAAAAGCAUCUUAACCCCUGGAGGAUCAUUUGUCAGGUUUACUCUGAUCUUUAGGGUCUAGCCUGACUCCAUAUUUCAAGCUCAUCGUCACCGAAAUGUAAUGGCUAGAUUCAGUUCAGGAGUGAAAUGAAUUCACAAACCAGCUUGUAUCCAGAGCAUAAACUGAACUGGACAGGGCACAAAUCACAAACAAUCAGCCGACUGUUUGUUUUUAAUUUUU
rnacentral:lncRNA from 1 species